CCUUUGCGCUAUGCAAGCAUGUUCAGCUAUGGAUGCCUUGGCUCAACGAUUGAUGAAGGGUGCAGUGAAUUGCGAUAAGCACAGUGACUUGCAGAACUCCGUGAAUCAAUUGGGUGUUGAAUGUGGACUGCGAUUUUGGGUCAUCCUUGAAAGCACGUCUUCAUCAUUGUUU
rnacentral:rRNA from 1 species